rnacentral:lncRNA from 1 species
UCAAUAGGGCCCAUUGAAUCUUGAUUGCAAGGUAACAAUUUGUUAGUUUGGAUAGUUUUUAGUCCGUAAUUACUGGAAUUAUUCAAACACAAGAACCCUUGGUGUAAAAACCUAGGAAAUUGCAUAAUCUAGCAAUAUCACCAUGCGUUUGGGUAGCUAGAAUUAGGUCUCUCUAUCUCUUAAUGCAAUUGACAGUUGUUUGUUGCCUAUGGUCCAAGGACGUUCCUUGGC